AUUGAACGCUGGCGGCAUGCUUUACACAUGCAAGUCGAACGGCAGCGCGGUCUUCGGCCUGGCGGCGCGUGUCGAACGGGGGUGUAAUGCAUCGGAGUGUGCUCCGCUGUGGGGUGUAGUACGGUCAAAGCCGGAUUAAUAACGCAUGAGACCUGCUGCUGCUAGCGGGGGGCGGAAGGACCUUGCGGUAUGGGGGCGGCCGACGUCGGGCUUGCUAGCUUGUGGGGUGAAGGCUUACCAAGCCGACGAUUCGUAGCUGGUCUGAGAGGGAGAGUGGCCACCCGGGAGCUGAGCCACGGCCCAGACGCCUACGGGAGGCAGCAGUGGGGAAUUUUGGACAAUGGGGGCAACCCUUAUCCAGCCAUGCCGCGUGCGGGACGAAGGCCUUCGGGUUGUGAACCGCGUUUGUUCGGUAAGAAAUGCUCUGGGCUGAUACCCCGGGGGGAUGACGGUACCGGAAGAAUAAGCACCGGCUAACUACGUG
rnacentral:rRNA from 1 species